rnacentral:rRNA from 1 species
UACGAAGGGGGCUAGCGUUGCUCGGAAUUACUGGGCGUAAAGGGAGCGUAGGCGGACAUUUAAGUCAGGGGUGAAAUCCCGAGGCUCAACCUCGGAACUGCCUUUGAUACUGGAUGUCUUGAGUGUGAGAGAGGUGUGUGGAACUCCGAGUGUAGAGGUGAAAUUCGUAGAUAUUCGGAAGAACACCAGUGGCGAAGGCGACACACUGGCCCGUUACUGACGCUGAGGCGCGAAAGCGUGGGGAGCAAACAGG